UACGUAGGGGGCUAGCGUUGUCCGGAAUCAUUGGGCGUAAAGAGCGCGUAGGCGGCCAGAUAAGUCCGGUGUGAAAGUCAAAGGCUCAACCUUUGAAUGCCGCUGGAAACUGUCUGGCUAGAGUCCGGAAGGGGCGAGUGGAAUUCCUGGUGUAGCGGUGAAAUGCGCAGAUAUCAGGAGGAACACCGGUGGCGAAGGCGGGUCUCUGGGCAGUAACUGACGUGAGGAGCGAAAGCUGGGGAGCAAACAG
rnacentral:rRNA from 1 species